UGAGGAAUAUUGCACAAUGGGCGCAAGCCUGAUGCAGCGACGCCGCGUGUGGGAUGAAGGGGCUACGCCUCGUAAACCACUGUAGCCCGGGACGAAAAACGCCUUAGAGGCGUUAGACGGUACCGGGAAAGUAAGGGUCGGCUAACUAAGUGCCAGCAGCCGCGGUUAUACGUAGGACCCAAGCGUUGUCCGGAUUUACUGGGUGUAAAGGGUGCGCAGGCGGAUGGGUAAGUCAGGGGUGAAAGUCUGCAGCUUAACUGUAGAAUUGCCUUUGAUACUGGCCUUCUUGAGUGUGGAUGAAGUAGGCGGAAUUUGUGGUGUAGCGGUGAAAUGCGUAGAUAUCAGAUAGAACACCAAUGGCGAAGGCAGUCACUUGGUCCAUUACUGACGCUAAAGCACGAAAGCGUGGGUAGCAAACA
rnacentral:rRNA from 1 species